rnacentral:pre_miRNA from 10 species
GGGACGGACUGAGCGGCAGCAAGAAAAAUGAGGGACUUUCAGGGGCAGCUGUGUUUUGCUAACCCAGUCAUAAUGCCCCUAAAAAUCCUUAUUGUUCUUGCAAUGGUCAACUGUGACCUCCG